GUGCUUACUUUGGUAUCACUUAUACUAAAAUUGGAAUGGUACAGAAAUUAGUAUAGCCCCUGCACAAGGAUGACACGCAAAUUUGUGAAGCAUUACAUAUUUAU
ensembl:snRNA U6 U6 spliceosomal RNA